UUUCUUUUCCGCCAUAACAUUAGUAUGGUUUAUCAUUUUAUCAUAAUAUAAAUUUUGUAAACAUUCACCUCUUAGAUAAGAAAAUCUCGGCCAUUUUGUAGGCUUCAUAAUUUUUACAUUGUAGGAAUAGGGAGUCGUCUAUCUAGUAUUUUUACAUAUCUGUAUUCUGUGGGUAUAAGUCAUGAUAUCAACUUCCUUAUCAUUUUUCGGAAAACUGCCCCCACCCAUUACUAUUGCAUAUCGACAUAUCGUGUGUGCGAAGUUGGACUACGAAACUCGUAAAUAUUGGGAAAUACAGGUGGUUAAGUAUAAAAUACCAUUGAUUCGGGAAUUAACAAGGGUUUAUUGAGGAACGAUUUUGGAUAUUAGAAUCGGUCGAAUCUUCUCGAGAUAUAAAUAUUAAGGCGUUGCCGCCGGCAGCAGGUAAAGGAAAACAACAAUGGAGAACAAAUAAUAUCACAAAAGGCGGACAAGGCGGUCGAAAACACUAAUCAAAUUUUGUGUCAACAACAACUUGGAACACAGAACUUGUAAGUGUCCAACAUUCAUCGCACUGCUGAUAAGCGGUCUUAUUGAGAAAAUUGCAUGUCUAAAAUUAUGUAAAAUAUGUUUACAUAAAUAUGAGUGAAAAUGUUUUUCGAGAUUUUGUUUCAAAUGUUCCAAACCCCAUAACACAUUGUAACAUCUACAGCCGUAAAAAGUCUCAGAUUCGGAAGGUACAGUGGAAAGGACUCAGAAACGGUGAAAAUGAAAAAUAGACACGAACCGGUCAUAGACGUGACGAGUUCAACGACCGCUCACGCGAAUAGUAAUUACGAGCGCGUAUAGUUAGCCACAGCUGUCGUACGCGUUAUCAAUACGUGCGGUAAGUCCCCGUUCGCACCUGUGUUAUUGGAUUAUGGGACAAUCAAUUAUUUUAUAUCGACUGAAUUAGUAAAUAGUUUAAGUUUACGACAAAAGAAAACGGGUCAUAUAGUAAGGCAAGCACAGUUUUAGGCUAAAACAAAAUAUCACAUCUGCGGCGGGGUUAAAAUAAAAUCUUGGGUGAACGGUUACGAAUUAAACAUACCAGUUUAAGGUUUAAUGGUAAAGAAGAUAACGGGAAAUCUACCGACGAAAUUUAUUUCCGAAAACGGUCCUCGACCUUAUGUUGGAUAAAGUCUACUUCAAUAAAAAUGGAAAACCUUUGAUUCACAUCGGGUUGGCGAGAUUCAAGAAAAGACCUCGUUAACUGAAUGGUUUCAUGUGAGAGGCAGUAAAAAUCCUGCGGACAUUAUAUCGCGUGAGUGCUGUCUUACCGAAUUAUUCCGCUAUACUCUUUGGUGGCAUGAUCCCGAGUGGUUAAUUUAAAAUGAAGAACUUUGGCCGGUUAUCCAACAGGAAGAGACAUCAAACGAUCUCGUGGAUAUGCCGGAAGAAAAAAAUUGAGUGUCAGUGGUGUAACUACAUCCGAAAAUGAUUUGAUUGUUUACAGAUAUUCGUCCAUAAAAAAGAUGUCUCGAAUUGUGGCAUAUUGUAUGCUUUUGAGGUCAAACUGUUUAGGUCGUAAGCAAAAAAAGAAAAGAAACUAUUUAAAAGAGCCCACUUUAUGGAUUAAUACCAUAUCUUGAUAUAAUUCUUGUAGAUGGAAUACUGAAAUACGCUGCACUUUUAAACGCCAUCCUGCAGUGUUACCAGCUAAAAGUAUUUUUACUCAAAAUUUAAUACGUGAAGAGCAAAAAGAUCAGAUGCACGGUGGUCCUCAAGAUGUUUUAGCGUCUAUGCGUGAAAGGUAUAGGUCUAUAAAUGGACGAAAUGUCACACGAAACGUGGUGAGUAAUUUGCAAAUGCGUUAUCUGUUUUAAACAACGCUCAAUAAUCCUAAAGCCUAUAAUAGGUGAUCUACCACCCUACCUAAAGGCGGAGUUGAAACCGGUCACGCUUUUCUGAAAUGUGGCAUCGACUAUGCCGGUCCUUUUUCAUUAAAAUCGGGACCACGAAAAAACUCUCCAAUUAUAAAAGCUUGCGUUUGUUUAUUUAUUUGUUUCUCUACGCGUGCAGUACAUUUGGAAGUAAUGAGCGAGUUAAGUACCGACGCCUUUCUACUCAUGCUUAAUCGACUUUUUGACCAACGCUGUAGAAGUCUAGUAAUGUAUUCUGGUAAUGCAACGAAUUUUGUAGUCACGAAUCCUCAGUUAAAAGAACUAUACGAAUUAUUGCAAUGAGAUGAUCAUUAAAGUAAAACUGCUGAAAUUGAUCAACUCUAGGCGUUGAAUGGAAAUUUAUACUAUCGCUCCCCAUUUUGGAGGUUUGUGGAAAGCCGGAAUAAAAUCCAUGAAGUAUUUAUUGCGUCACGUACUGGGUGAUGCUCAUCCAACUUAUUAACUAUACUUACAUAUGCCGUAGCCUGUUUAAAUAGUCAACCUUUAAUUCCUAUUUCGUCAGAUUCAAAUGAUUUGAUUCCUCUAGGUCCUUGCAACUUCCUUAUAGGAGAUUCUCUAACCGCUAUACCAGAAAUCGACGAGUCAACUGUGCCAAUCAACCGUCUGAAUAAAUGGCGCCGAGUAUCUCAAUACUCUCAAAACUCGUGGAAACGAUGUAGUAGUGAAUACCUACUUAUCGCAACUUCGAGAAAGAGACAAGUGGGAGUGGGCUAGAACGAAUGGUCCAAAAUUGAAUGUUCCUUGGUGUAGCUGAAAGACGAAAAUCUCACCCCUUUACGAUGACGUAUGGGACGUGUUUCCAAGAAUCAAUGAAACCAAGGUUUGCUUGCCCCAAUUUAUGCGGAAAAUCAUACAAAGAUAAAGUAUCGGUUGUUCGACAUCUUAAAUACAAUUGUAAAAUGGAAACGAUGUUUGAAUGUCCGGUUUGCUUCAGACAAUUCACUAACAAACAAUCUAUGAAAAGACAUUCAAUACUGGUUCAUAAACAUUUUCCAGAAUAAAAUAUAACAGAACAAAAAAAAUUGAGAAUUUUUUGCCCUAACUCCUGUGGAAGAUCAUACAAAAAUAAAUGCUCGAUUGGUCGACAUCUUAAAUUUGAAUGUGGAGUACAACCAAAAUUUAAAUGUUUUAUUUGCUACAAAAGAUUUACUGAUAAACAAUCGAUGAAGAGACAUGUGAUACUGAUUCACAGACAUUUUGGGAUAAAUAACAACAGCUUUUGACAUUUAUAUAUUGAAUAAUAUUCUACUUUCACUUUAAAAAUACUUAAUAGUUACCUAUUUUAAAUACUUUAAUACUAUAUAUUUUAUAUUUUAAUUAAUGUAUUCAAUUGUAUCAAUAAAAUUAUAUCUUAUUCUGUUAGUUAUUGACAAUUGUUAUGUAAUUAUUGUUGCUUAACCUACCAGCUUCAGUAAUCAUAAUCAGUGUUUAAGUGGUUCUGCUUGAAUUUGAUGGUGAACUAAGUAUUUCAUAUUUUUUAAACAUAUUUUAGCGUAAAUAUAUAUAUUGGAAUUUUUGGCCAAACAAAAUGUUCAA